rnacentral:rRNA from 1 species
AAAGGUACUCAAGGGCACACAAUGGAUGCCUAGACGUAUAUUACCGAUGAAGGACGUGGAAGACUGCGAUAAGCUUCGGGUAGCUGUCAACAAGCUUUGAUCCGGAGAUUUCCGAAUGGGGAAACCCAGCAUGAGUUAUGUCAUGUUACUCUUAUCUGAAUAUAUAGGGUAAGAAGAGGGAACUGACUGAACUGAAACAUCUUAGUAGGUUGAGGAAAAGAAAAUAAAUAAUGAUUCUCGGAGUAGUGGCGAGCGAAACGGGAAGAGCUCAAACCUUUUAUAUUUUUAUCUAAUUUAUUAGAUAAAUAAGUGAACAGACGAAUAUAUAAAAGGGGUUGUGAGUUUACACGAGACCAGGUCAGAAAACUUAAGUUUUUAUUUAAGUUGUCUGACUUGCGACUAUUUUCUGUUCAAAAAUAGAUAAAGUAAGAAAACAGCGUGGUUAGCAGAAUAGUUUGAAUGACUAGCCAAAGAACGUGAAAGCCGUGUAAGUUAAAACGACGCUGACUUUAUACGUGUUUAUCUCGAGUAGGACGGGGCACGAGAAACCCUGUUUGAAUCUGGCUGGACCACCAGCCAAAGCUAAAUAUAAUAUACGAUCGAUAGUGAACUAGUACAGCGAUGGAAAGGUGAAAAGAACCCCGGGAGGGGAGUGAAAUAGAUCCUGAAAUUGUGUGCCUACAAAGUGUCGGAGCCGACUUGUUCGGUGACGGCGUGCUUUUUGUAGAACGAUCCAGCGAGUUAAUUUCAAGUGCAAGGUUAAGUCAGUUGACGGAGCCAUAGUGAAAGCGAGCCUGAAUAGGGCGAUUAGUACUUGGGAUUAGACCCGAAACCGGGUGACCUAACCAUGUGCAGGCUGAAGCUGCGGUAACACGCAGUGGAGGGCCGAACCAGAGUACGCUGUAAAGUGCUUGGAUGACGUGUGGUUAGCGGUGAAAUGCCAAUCGAACUCGGAGAUAGCUGGUUCUCCUCGAAAUAACUUUAGGGUUAGCGUCGUGUAGUAACAUACGGGGGUAGAGCUCUGUAAAGGACUGGGGCGGGCAACUGUACCCACCCUUAACAAACUACGAAUACCGUAUGCGUAAUCACGGCAGUUAGAACGUCGGGGCUAAGCUCGACGCUCAAAAGGGAAACAGCCCAGACCAUCAUCUAAGGUCCCUAAAUUAACACUCAGUGGGAAACAAGGUGAGAUUUCUUAAACAGCUAGGAUGUUGGCUUAGAAGCAGCCAUUCAUUUAAAGAGUGCGUAACAGCUCACUAGUCAAGAGAUCUUGCGUGGAAAAUGUAACGGGGCUAAAGUGUUAUACCGAAGAUAUGGAUUAUCACUUAUGUGAUAGUGGUAGAGGAGCGUUCCUCUCUGCGGUGAAGCAGUAUUGUAAAGUACUGUGGAGCGUGAGGAAGUGAGAAUGCUGGAAUGAGUAACCGUAAGACAGGUGAGAAUCCUGUCGGCCGUAAGAGCAAGGUUUCCUGAGCUAUGGUAAUCAUCUCAGGGUUAGUCGGGCCUAAGCCGAGGCGUAUAGCGUAGGCGAUGGACAUCAGAUUAAUAUUUCUGAACCAGUUAAAUCUUGUACACUGUUCACAGGGAGUUAGUCAAAGCGGAUUAUUGGUAUAUAUCCGUCCAACCUAGCGGGAACGCAAAGGGAGUGAAAAUUACUUAGGGUAAUGAUUUUGAUGAAAGCUCUGGCUAGAAAAGCAGAUGUACUUAUGGAUUUAUCCGCCCGUACCGCAAACCAACACAGGUGCUCGAGUCGAGUAGACUAAGGCUUACGAGUGAACCUUCGCUAAGGAACUCGGCAAUACAGCGACCGUAACUUCGGAAUAAGGUCUGCCUCCACAUCAGUGGAUACAAGUAUUACUGAGCUAAGGCGUUAUAAAUAGAGUAUCUUAUUUACUUACUUUUACUGAGACGCGUCUUUAGCUUAAGCUAUUUGCAUCUAGCGAUGUGGAGGCCGCAGCAAAAGAGCCCACGGAACUGUUUAUCAAAAACACAGGUCCCUGCUAACACGAAAGUGGAUGUAUAGGGGCUGACUCCUGCCCAGUGCCGGAAGGUUAAGGGGAAUGCUUAACGGUGUGAACUGAAGCCCCGGUGAACGGCGGCGGUAACUAUAACCGUCCUAAGGUAGCGAAAUUCCUUGUCAGGUAAGUUCUGACCCGCACGAAUGGAGUAAUCAUGUGGGCACUGUCUCAGCGAAGGACUCGGUGAAAGUGCAUUGACGGUAAAGAUGCCGUCUGUCCGUACCAGGACGAAAAGACCCCAUGGAGCUUUACUACAGUUUUACAUUGACUCGAUUUACCUUAUGUGUAGCAUAGGUGGGAGACUUUGAAGCAGAUACGCCAGUAUUUGUGGAGUCACAGGUGAAAUACCACCCUUAAUGUGAAUUUAGUCUCACCAUUACCGUAAUCCGGUAAUGGGACCGUGUAUGAUGGGUAGUUUAACUGGGGCGGUUGCCUCCUAAAGAGUAGCGGAGGCGUUCAAAGG